UGUAUAGCUCAGUGGUUAGAGCACCCGGCUUGGCCGGGUGGCGCGGGUCCGAAUCCCGAUACAA
rnacentral:tRNA from 2 species